AACGAACGCUGGCGGCAGGCCUAACACAUGCAAGUCGAGCGAGGACUUCGGUCCUAGCGGCAGACGGGUGAGUAACGCGUGGGAACGUGCCCUUUGCUUCGGAAUAGCCCUGGGAAACUGGGAGUAAUACCGGAUGAGCCCUUUGGGGGAAAGAUUUAUCGGCGAAGGAUCGGCCCGCGUUGGAUUAGGUAGUUGGUGGGGUAAUGGCCUACCAAGCCGACGAUCCAUAGCUGGUUUGAGAGGAUGAUCAGCCACACUGGGACUGAGACACGGCCCAGACUCCUACGGGAGGCAGCAGUGGGGAAUCUUAGACAAUGGGGGAAACCCUGAUCUAGCCAUGCCGCGUGAGCGAUGAAGGCCUUAGGGUUGUAAAGCUCUUUCAGCUGGGAAGAUAAUGACGGUACCAGCAGAAGAAGCCCCGGCUAACUCCGUG
rnacentral:rRNA from 1 species